GUUUCCCUCUCUCCCACCCCUCUGUGUGGCCCCGGGUGCUGGCAAUCCAUGCUAUGCCACUGUAGGUAGGGUAGACCUUUUCUUUUCAGUAUAGCACUGGCAUUAUCGUGCCCUGCCGUAUGAGCAUAAAGACCUAAGAAGAGCCCUGCUAGAUGAGACCAGAGGUUGUGCACACACUCCUUUCCUUUACCUGUAGAGAAGGUGGCAGUAACAUCAUCACAGCCAAGUUGAACAACCCCUGCUCUGAAGAAGAGGAUUCUCUAGAUCAGCUUUUCUCAACCUUGGGUCCCCAGAUGUAGUUUGACUACAACUUCCCUCCCAACAUUAUCUUAAAUUAUAUAUGUAAUAUAUGGGGUUUGACACUCAGUCAAUAUAAAUAUAUCUGUGCCCUUACAUCUGCAAGAAGAUUAAUAUCAAUAUACUGGAAGGCCAAAAAUAUGGCCUCUUUCAAUCAAUGGAUAGAUGACAUGACAACUCUUGCAACCCACGAACGGAUCACUUUCAGACAAAGAUUAUGUUUGGACAAAUUUGAUGAUAUUUGGAACACAUUUACUGAAACCAUAGUGACCUAUGAAUCAAUGUAUACUGGAGGGAAGCAAUAAGCUGAUCCAUUUGCAUAAAUGAUAUAUAGUUCUGUAGCUUUAAUUAUAUUUUACUGUCAUAUUGUUAUUGUUUUUAAGGAAGACCCCAAAAUUGUUGAGUUGUUUUUUUUUAAGGAAAACCCGAAAGUUGUUGAGCUUGCCGAAGAUCCAGGACAAACCGCCGCCUUCUGGAAAUUCCUCUAGGACGUCACUUCUACCUUUGAAAUCCCGGUAAUGUCUGGGAAAUCCUGGACGUAUGGCAACCCUAUCUCUGUAUGACAGCUGAAAUCUGAGCAUCAUCUGAGGGGAAGAGCCACAGUUCAGUAAUGGAGUACAUGCUCUGUGUACAGGAGUUCCCAGGUGCAGUGGCAUUUUCAUUUAAAAGGUUGAGAUACCAGGGGAUGCAAACACCAAUGUCUGCCAGAAGCCCUGGAGACAUGCUAACAACCGCAGUAGGCAAUACUGAGCUAAGAUGGACCAAUGGCCCAUCUCGGUACAAGACAGUUUCUUUCCUGUGUUCCCAAAGGCUGCACAAUCAAUGAAGCUUUUAUGAAGCAGAAGCGAUUGUUCUGAAUGAGCGCAGACUACGCCAUUUUACCUCUGAGAUAUUAACUCCCUAUAGUAAUAUUAUUUAUCCCAGCUGGCAAGGAGAUCAUGAAAAAUGCUCGAUCACUUUAAGCCCACUUUUGAUGAGAAAAUAUAUUUUUUCUAUGUGGGGGAGUAAUGAAUCCAUUUCCACCCUUCACCCGCUAUAGAUGAAAUGAAAUUGAAAUUAAAAUUCCACCUUCAUGACUAAUGAAGCCAUCAAGUAAUGUAACCUUGCACACAGGGGGAAAAAAGAACAGGGCAGGGGGAGGG